AGUAGCGAAGUUCCUGAUGUCACACUGCCAAGAAAAGCUUCUAGUGAGAAAGUAACUGCCCGUACCGCAAACCGACACAGGUAGUUGAGGAGAGAAUCCUAAGGUGUGCGAGAGAACUCUCGUUAAGGAACUCGGCAAAAUGACCCCGUAACUUCGGGAGAAGGGGUGCUGACCGCAAGGUCAGCCGCAGUGAAUAGGCCCAAGCGACUGUUUAUCAAAAACACAGGUCUCUGCAAAAUCGAAAGAUGACGUAUAGGGGCUGACGCCUGCCCGGUGCUGGAAGGUUAAGAGGAGAGGUUAGCGCAAGCGAAGCUUUGAAUUGAAGCCCCAGUAAACGGCGGCCGUAACGAUAACGGUCCUAAGGUAGCGAAAUUCCUUGUCGGGUAAGUUCCGACCCGCACGAAAGGCGUAACGAUUUGGGCACUGUCUCAACGAGAGACUCGGUGAAAUUAUAGUACCAGUGAAGAUGCUGGUUACCCGCGACAGGACGGAAAGACCCCAUGGAGCUUUACUGCAGUUUGAUAUUGCGUGUUUGUAUCACAUGUACAGGAUAGGUAGGAGCCGAAGAUACCGGGACGCCAGUCUCGGAGGAGGCAACGGUGGGAUACUACCCUUGUGAUAUGACCACUCUAACCCGCUGCUCUUAGCGAGCAGGGAGACAGUGUCAGACGGGCAGUUUGACUGGGGCGGUCGCCUCCAAAAAUGUAACGGAGGCGCCCAAAGGUUCCCUCAGAAUGGUUGGAAAUCAUUCGUAGAGUGUAAAGGCAGAAGGGAGCUUGACUGCGAGACCUACAAGUCGAGCAGGGACGAAAGUCGGGCUUAGUGAUCCGGUGGUUCCGCAUGGAAGGGCCAUCGCUCAACGGAUAAAAGCUACCCUGGGGAUAACAGGCUUAUCUCCCCCAAGAGUUCACAUCGACGGGGAGGUUUGGCACCUCGAUGUCGGCUCAUCGCAUCCUGGGGCUGUAGUCGGUCCCAAGGGUUGGGCUGUUCGCCCAUUAAAGCGGUACGCGAGCUGGGUUCAGAACGUCGUGAGACAGUUCGGUCCCUAUCCGUCGCGGGCGUUGGAAAUUUGAGAGGAGCUGUCCUUAGUACGAGAGGACCGGGAUGGACACACCGCUGGUGUACCAGUUGUUCUGCCAAGAGCAUCGCUGGGUAGCUAUGUGUGGACGGGAUAAACGCUGAAAGCAUCUAAGCGUGAAGCCCCCCUCAAGAUGAGAUUUCCCAUCACUUUAAGUGAGUAAGACCCCUGAGAGAUGAUCAGGUAGAUAGGUUGGGAGUGGAAGUACAGCGAUGUAUGGAGCGGACCAAUACUAAUCGGUCGAGGACUUAACC
rnacentral:rRNA from 1 species